CGGGGCGCUGGCUGUGGAGAGGGCGCUGCGCCUGGGACGACGCCAGCCGUGUGCAUUGCACACUCUCGGCCUCACGUAUGUGCAUCUGUGAUACAGUUUGGGACCCUGGGAAGUCCAAGAUCAAGGUGCCAGCAGCUUUGGUGUCUGGAGACAACCUUCAAUGACUCCCUAAUGCCUACAGGAUAGAGUUCAAAUACUUUGCCCUAUAUGAUUCAUCCUCUACCCUCUUAUAUACCAGAUUUUCUACUGCUUUCCUUCACAUACUCAUAGUUUCUAAUGCAUGGCUUAUGCAUGCUAGCUAUUAGGUGCAUGUAAAAACAACCCGAAAACAGGUCAAAAAAGUUUUUGAAAUGCUGCAUACUGUAGAUUCCUCAGAGAGAUUUACAGAGCAUAUUAGUAUAC